GCUCGAUCGAUCCGUAGUUUUUGAAUUAGCCAUGGCGUGUACGAGCUUGGUGAAUCAGUGGAUCGGUUAGCAAUCCUUCAAUCAAGGGCCUGGAUCUUCCUGUCGAUUCGUCUCUCCUCGUGUCUCUGUCGUCCAUGCCAAAUCGUACUUCGACGAACUCGUCAAAACCGCCAUGGACGAGUCAAAGAGAACUACAAUAUAAUAAACUGUUAGUUCUAGAAUGAAGCAAUUAACCCAUCAGAGAGGUUACACAGAUCAAAUAGAAGAUGCAAAUGCUGUCAUAUUUACUUUUGGGUCAUAUCGCUUGGGGUUGCCAUAAUGGCCCAACACUCACAGCCUCUUGAUGUCAAUGUAGAGGCACAGAAGGAGGCAGCCUCCCAUUCUAGUGUCGGUAAGACAUUAAAGUUAUUUAUAUUAAUGAGCUUUUUGUUGAGGAUUGAGUGAACUUAGCUCUAAAUUCUCUAGAGUGUUUUCCUUUUAUCUUCUUGUGGGUUGAUGGGUUUUUCCUUAUUUAUUGCUUUGGUUUUUGUUGAGGGUUGAGUGACAAUAGACCUAUAUUUUUGCUUCGGUUUUAUCUUAUCUGGAAACAAAGAGGGAAAAAAAGCACACCCACAUAUACAUUGAUAAAAUAUCAUCCCUAGGUAUAUAUAUAUUCUGUCACUGUAGUUGUUUUUGUGCGGGUUCAAAAGCACUUUUACAUUAUUGGAGGGUCAACCCCAUUUUGUCCCUUGUGACGAGUAAGUGAAAAAUUAAUAAUGGACUUGUUGGGAAUGUCUUUUCUUGUGAUACUUUUUGGCGGGCAAAUAUGAUAUGAGUGGUACAUUUGAGGCAUUUCUUUUGGCCCCAUCUAUUGUUGGAUUAUAAUUUUUGUCAAAAAAAUGUGAAUAAAAAGUUUUAAAUAAAGGUUAAGUUUAUGUAAAUAUUGUACAAAAUAUAAUAUCCAAACAGGUUUAUAUCCAAACAGGUUUGGAAAGAGAACUAUUGCUGGGAGAGUUGUUAAGGAAAGCUAUGGUGCUGCCAAACAACAACAUACAUUUAUAACAUACUUGGGGAUCCAAAUAUUCAGGUUUUAUUUCAAAUGCACUAAGUACUCUGCUGACGAAAAGGUAAG